rnacentral:rRNA from 1 species
CGUUGCCAGCAUUCAGUUGGGCACUCUAAGGUGACUGCGGCUAAAAGUCGGAGGAAGUGGGGAUGACGUCAAAGUCAUCAUGCCCCUUAUGACCUGGGCUACACACGUGCUACAAUGGGCGGUACAAAGGGUCGCGAACCCGCGAGGGGGAGCCAAUCCCAAAAAGCCGCUCUCAGUUCGGAUUGCAGGCUGCAACUCGCCUGCAUGAAGCCGGAAUCGCUAGUAAUCGCGGAUCAGCAUGCCGCGGUGAAUACGUUCCCGGGCCUU